CGGCGGACGGGUGAGUAACACGUGGAUAACCUACCUAUAAGACUGGGAUAACUUCGGGAAACCGGAGCCAAUACCGGAUAAUAUAUUGAACCGCAUGGUUCAAUAGUGAAAGACGGUUUUGCUGUCACUUAUAGAUGGAUCCGCGCCGCAUUAGCUAGUUGGUAAGGUAACGGCUUACCAAGGCAACGAUGCGUAGCCGACCUGAGGAGGGUGAUCGGCCACACUGGAACUGAGACACGGUCCAGACUCCUACGGGAGGCAGCAGCC
rnacentral:rRNA from 1 species